rnacentral:rRNA from 1 species
UAAGACCAAAGCACAACUAAGCUGUCAUAAGCUCAAGAUGCGCCUAAGACCCCCCUUAAAACGAUCUUAGCGUCUUUGAUCAAUUUAAUUCCACGAAAGCUAAGACACAAACUGGGAUUAGAUACCCCACUAUGCUUAGCCCUAAAUCUUGAUGUUCUCUCGUACUAAAACAUCCGCCCGAGAACUACGAGCACAAACGCUUAAAACUCUAAGGACUUGGCGGUGCCCUAAACCCACCUAGAGGAGCCUGUUCUAUAAUCGAUAAUCCACGUUACACCCGACCACCCCUUGCCAAAGCAGCCUACAUACCGCCGUCGCCAGCUCACCUCCCCUGAGAGCUCAGCAGUGAGCACAAUAGCCUAAACCCGCUAAUAAGACAGGUCGAGGUAUAGCCUAUGGGGUGGAAGAAAUGGGCUACAUUUUCUAAAGUAGAAAACUCACGGAAGGGGGCAUGAAACUGCCCCCCAAAGGCGGAUUUAGUAGUAAAGCGGGAUAAUAUAAGCCCCCUUUAAGAUGGCCCUGGGGCACGUACAUACCGCCCGUCACCCUCC